AGAGUUUGAUCCUGGCUCAGGAUGAACGCUAGCGGCAGGCCUAACACAUGCAAGUCGAACGGUAACAUUGGUGCUUGCACCAGAUGACGAGUGGCGCACGGGUGCGUAACGCGUAUGCAAUCUACCUUUUACUGAAGAAUAGCCCAGAGAAAUUUGGAAUAAUCCUUCAUAAUAUCAUUUAUCAGCAUUGAUUUAUGAUUAAAGCUCCGGCGGUAAAAGAUGAGCAUGCGUCCUAUUAGUUUGUUGGUGAGGUAACGGCUCACCAAGACUACGAUAGGUAGGGGCCCUGAGAGGGGGAUCCCCCACACUGGUACUGAGACACGGACCAGACUCCUACGGGAGGCAGCAGUGAGGAAUAUUGGACAAUGGAGGCAACUCUGAUCCAGCCAUGCCGCGUGCAGGAAGACUGCCCUAUGGGUUGUAAACUGCUUUUAUACAGGAAGAAACGCCGCUACGUGUAGCGGUUUGACGGUACUGUACGAAUAAGGAUCGGCUAACUCCGUGCCAGCAGCCGCGGUAAUACGGAGGAUCCAAGCGUUAUCCGGAAUCAUUGGGUUUAAAGGGUCCGUAGGCGGUUUUUUAAGUCAGAGGUGAAAUCCUGCAGCUCAACUGUAGAAUUGCCUUUGAUACUGAAAGACUUGAGUUAUUGUGAAGUGGUUAGAAUGUGUGGUGUAGCGGUGAAAUGCUUAGAUAUCACACAGAAUACCCAUUGCGAAGGCAGAUCACUAACAAUAUACUGACGCUCAUGGACGAAAGCGUGGGGAGCGAACGGGAUUAGAUACCCCGGUAGUCCACGCCGUAAACGAUGGAUACUAACUGUUCGACCUUCGGGUUGAGUGGUCAAGCGAAAGUGAUAAGUAUCCCACCUGGGGAGUACGCUCGCAAGAGUGAAAC
rnacentral:rRNA from 1 species